CAGCCGCCACGGUAAUACGUAGGUGGCAAGCGUUGUCCGGAAUUAUUGGGCGUAAAGGGCUCGCAGGCGGUUUCUUAAGUCUGAUGUGAAAGCCCCCGGCUCAACCGGGGAGGGUCAUUGGAAACUGGGAAACUUGAGUGCAGAGGAGGAGAGUGGAAUUCCACGUGUAGCGGUGGAAUGCGUAGAGAUGUGGAGGAACACCAGUGGCGAAGGCGACUCUCUGGUCUGUAACUGACGCUGAGGAGCGAAAGCGUGGGGAGCGAACAGGAUUAGAUACCCGCGUAGUCCCUGUCUCUUAUAC
rnacentral:rRNA from 1 species